rnacentral:lncRNA from 1 species
UUUUUAGGAAUAAAUAAAGUUCGGUGGCGACUCUGUUUAGUCCAUCAUGCAAGUGUGCGAUUGUGCUUCACUAAGUCAUGUUCUCAUUUUUCGAGGUGCGAUAAUAAGUAACAUUUAGAUAAUAACAUUCAUUCGCGCAAAGAAAAAUCAAAACGGUUCCCGUUGAGCGCAACAAAUAUGAUGGGUGCUAGUACCUUGCCCUUGCAUAAUCGACUUCCUUACUAAUUUCUCUUCCCCUAGGUUUUAUUGAUAUUUU